AGGCCUGGGCGGUGUCUCCGCGGCACUUCCCGGCGGCCGGCUGCUCUGAUUGGGGGCGCUGGUAGCCGGAGGCGGGAGCAGGCCCUGGCGUUCAGCCGUCUCCGCCCCCUCCAGGUCUCAGCCGGGGACCCAGCCCCGCGAGCUGGCACUGCGGCUGUGGACAGCGGCCUGGGAGGAUUGCUCCAGAAUGAAAAUGUGGCUCUGGUGUUUGGUGGUCUGUUUGGUCCUUGGGACCCUGCAUUCCGAGGUAUCCAGAGGGAAGCUGGCACCUGUGGAUCCUGAAACAAAUAUGAAUGUGAGUGAAAUUAUCUCUCACGGGGGAUUCCCUAGUGAGGAACACCUAGUUGUGACAGAAGAUGGAUAUAUUCUUUGCCUUAACCGAAUCCCCCACGGGAGGAAGAACCAUUCUGACAGAGGUAUGGCUGUUUUCUGUGGUGAG